rnacentral:rRNA from 1 species
AUUGAACGCUGGCGGCAUGCCUUACACAUGCAAGUCGAACGGCAGCACGGGAGCAAUCCUGGUGGCGAGUGGUGAACGGGUGAGUAAUAUAUCGGAACGUGCCCGGUCGUGGGGGAUAACGUAGCGAAAGCUACGCUAAUACCGCAUACGAUCUACGGAUGAAAGCGGGGGAUCGCAAGACCUCGCGCGAUUGGAGCGGCCGAUAUCAGAUUAGGUAGUUGGUGAGGUAAAGGCUCACCAAGCCGACGAUCUGUAGCUGGUCUGAGAGGACGACCAGCCACACUGGGACUGAGACACGGCCCAGACUCCUACGGGAGGCAGCAGUGGGGAAUUUUGGACAAUGGGCGCAAGCCUGAUCCAGCAAUGCCGCGUGCAGGAUGAAGGCCUCGGUUGUAACUAGCUUUGUUACGG